rnacentral:rRNA from 1 species
GACGAACGCUGGCGGCGUGCUUAACACAUGCAAGUCGAACGGAAAGGCCCUGCUUUUGUGCGGUGCUCGAGUGGCGAACGGGUGCGUAACACGUGAGUAACCUGCCCUUGACUUUGGGAUAACUUCAGGAAACUGGGGCUAAUACCGGAUAGCAGCUCCUGCUGCAUGGUGGGCGUUGGAACGUUGCGGCGGUUGGGGAUGGACUCGCGGCUUAUCAGCUUGCUGGUGGGGUAGUGGCGUACCCAGGCGUUGGCGGGUCGCCGGCCGGGGAGGGUGGCCGGGGACAUGGGGACUGAGGGACGGGCCAGAGGGGUACGGGAGGCAGCGGGGGGGAGGAUGGGGCAGUGGGCGGGAGCGGGAGGCAGCGGCGCCGGGGGCGGGAUGACGGCCUGCGGGGUGUAAACCGCUGUCGGCUGUGACGAAGCGGGAGUGACGGUAAUGGGUAAAGAAGCACCGGCUAACUACGUG